rnacentral:sRNA from 1 species
GUUCGAUUCGAGCGAAAGCGAGAAAGCGUUGCCAACGGCAACGACCCGAAGGGCGAAGCGCGCAGCGCUGAGUAAUCCUUCCCCCACCACCA